UACGGGGGGGGCAAGCGUUGUUCGGAAUUACUGGGCGUAAAGGGCUCGUAGGCGGCCAACUAAGUCGGAUGUGAAAUCCCCAGGCUUAACCUGGGAACUGCAUCCGAUACUGGAUGGCUUGAGUUCGGGAGAGGGAUGCGGAAUUCCAGGUGUAGCGGUGAAAUGCGUAGAUAUCGGGAGGAACACCUGUGGCGAAAGCGGCUCACCGGACCACAACUGACGCUGAGGCGCGAAAGCUAGGGAGCAAACAGG
rnacentral:rRNA from 1 species